UAUUUCAAACUUUUUCAUUAUUAUUAUAUUUAUUAUGGUGACCUGUGAUUAGUAAUCUUUGAUAUUACUCCUAUAAAAAGGUUUCAUCUCACUGAA